CUGGAUUAUUUUAUUAUUCAAUGUAACGUCUAUACUAUAUAAUCAUUAUCAUAUAAAUUAUAAUCAAAUAUUGUUCUAGUUCCAUGAAUGGCGUAGUUAUCUACAAUUUACUGGAUAUUGUUAAAUAUUUAUCAUUUAUACCUAAUAAACCUAAAGAACCAUCGUAAAAACAUACUUAAACACCGAAGACUGAACAAUAAAGUUAAGCACGCCAAAGGCUUACAAGCAUAUUCAAGUUCGGUCACCAAAAACUACGAACUCUUUAUUAAAAUAUAAAUCAAAAUAAGCCGACGACUGCUGCAGGAUCCCGGACGGCCGGGCAAUGAAUAUAGGUACUUACCGCUUACCCCUCCUUCCCCAGUAAUACGCAAACGGUAGCAACUACUAUGAGCCAUGCUGCUUGUAAUUCGAUCACAAGUUUAAGCAAUAUUUCAUUUUGAUUUUGUAUACGUAUACCAGAAUUGCUUGGUCAACUAUAAAUGUGUUAUGACAUCAUGUGAGCAAUUGUCCAUCAAUCUUUUGCGGAGAACGGUCCGAGCUCUUCGUGCGUCGAUUCAAAUAAAUUGCUAAAACCUUAAACUUACGUUGUAAGCAAAAACAUGUUUCAUUGAGAAAUAUUUAAAAAUAUUUCGUGCAAAAUCUACACAUACGGCUGGAAUUUACGUGUUCAGCAAAUAAAACGUGACUAUUGUUGUGCAGCUACCGCUAUUUUGUCUGGUACUAUGUAUACUAUAUAUUUAUACAGGUAAAAAUUUAAUACGUA